rnacentral:misc_RNA from 1 species
GAAUUGCGAUAAGUAAUGCGAAUUGAGAAUUCUUUGUUGCGAUGGAUUUGGGUUAUUUGCGUAUUUUUUUAUUCGCAAUUACCUUCAAUUUAAUGUAUGACCACCGUCUGCUGAUGGUACUGAGGUUUGAGUGCAUGAAUAAGGUUUAUUCCUUUUUGAUUUCUCUCUUGUAAUCUCUGGUACAAUGUUGGCUGAAGGUUUGGGCAUCUCAUAUACAUUACCGAAAUGUUGAUUCAGUUUGAAUCUCAUUUUGAAAACUUGGUCUCAAAUCAGGUAGGAAAACCCGCUGAACUUAA